UACGGAGGGUGCAAGCGUUGUUCGGGAUCACUGGGCGUAAAGCGCGUGUAGGCGGUUGCGUAAGUCGGGAGUGAAAGCCCGGGGCUCACCCCGGGAAGGGCACUGGAUACUGGGUAACUAGAGGACGGGAGAGGGGGGUGGAAUUCCUGGUGUAGCGGUGAAAUGCGUAGAUAUCGGGAGGAACACCAGUGGCGAAGGCGGCCUCCUGGCCCGUUCCUGACGCUGAGACCCGAAAGCGUGGGGAGCAAACCGG
rnacentral:rRNA from 1 species